UGGGGAAUAUUGGGCAAUGGGCGAAAGCCUGACCCAGCGACGCCGCGUGAAGGAUGAAGGCCCUCGGGUUGUAAACUUCUGUUGGAUGGGAAAAAAAGCCGCAAGGUCUUGAUGGUACCAUUCGAGUAAGCACCGGCUAACUACGUGCCAGCAGCCGCGGUAAUACGUAGGGUGCAAGCAUUGUUCGGAAUCACUGGGCGUAAAGAGAGCGUAGGCGGGAUUGUAAGUUAGGAGUUUAAUGCAUGGGCUUAACCCAUGAUCUGCUUUUAAUACUGCAGUUCUUGAGUAUGGGAGAGGGUGAUGGAAUUCCAGGUGUAGCGGUGGAAUGCGUAGAUAUCUGGAAGAACACCAGUAGCGAAGGCGGUCGCCUGGCCCAAUACUGACGCUGAGGCGCGAAAGCGUGGGUAGCAAACAGG
rnacentral:rRNA from 2 species